CAGACCUCUAAUCGGAAAAGACUACCCGCUGAGUUUAAGCAUAUCAAUAGCCGGAAGGAA
rnacentral:rRNA from 1 species